rnacentral:tRNA from 2 species
UGGCCCGUGGGGUAACGGUAGCCCGACUGACUCUGGAUCAGUUAGUCCUGGUUCGAAUCCAGGCGGGCCAGCCA